GUCAGAAACUUCCGUGGAGUCUGCGUGGUGUUUCUGCCACCUUGCCCUCCCAGUCCUGGCCCCUGAACUCUUUUCGGCUCACAGAUGGAAACAGCAAUUGGCGCCCAAACAGGGGACUCACGUAUACUGAGUGCCAGUUCCUAAGGUGGGCAGUGCUACAACAGCUGCUGGUGUCAGUGACUCCGAGUGUUCAGCCCCGUUUUGCAGACGGAAAUAUGAAGAAUGGUGGUGAGUUGCUAUUCAGUGACAGAGCCAGAAAUAG
rnacentral:lncRNA from 1 species